CCUACGGGGGGCUGCAGUGGGGAAUAUUGGACAAUGGGGGGAACCCUGAUCCAGCGACGCCGCGUGAGUGAAGAAGUAUUUCGGUAUGUAAAGCUCUAUCAGCAGGGAAGAAAGGAAUGACGGUACCUGACUAAGAAGCCCCGGCUAACUACGUGCCAGCAGCCGCGGUAAUACGGAGGGGGCAAGCGUUAUCCGGAGUUACUGGGUGUAAAGGGAGCGUAGACGGUUACGCAAGUCUGGAGUGAAAGGCGGGGUCCCAACCCCCGGACUGCUUUGGAAACUGUAUAACUGGAGUGCAGGAGAGGUAAGUGGAAUUCCUAGUGUAGCGGUGAAAUGCGUAGAGAUUAGGAGGAACACCAGUGGCGAAGGCGGCUUACUGGACUGUAACUGACGUUGAGGCUCGAAAGCGUGGGGAGCAAACAGGAUUAGAUACCCCGGUAGUC
rnacentral:rRNA from 1 species